rnacentral:misc_RNA from 1 species
UAAAUGCGAUAAGUAAUGUGAAUUGCAUAAUUCCGUGAAUCAUCGAAUCUUUGAACGCACAUUGCGCCCUCUGGUAUUCCGGGGGGCAUGCCUGUCCGAGCGUCAUUGCGAACCCCUCAAGCACGGCUUGUGUGAUGGGCCCUCCCGCGUCUUGGUCGUCAAGACGGGCCCGAAAUGCAGUGGCGGCUUCGCGGUUAUCCGAUCAGCCAGAGCGUAUGGGGACUUUCUCUCUGUCACACGCCCGCGGCGCGGACCGACGCCUGUCGACCUUCAUUCAUCGUUUUCUCGGUUGACCUCGGAUCAGGUAGGGAUACCCGCUGAACUUAAGC